AACGCCCUUAUAAAUACCCACGAAAUUAGGGUUUUUUGUUUUUGUGUUCUCUACAGCCGCUAAGUUCUUUCCAUCGCAGAGCCGCCGCCCUUCGUCUUCGUUAACAGAAUGGACAGUCAGAUUAAGCACGCAGUGGUGGUGAAGGUGAUGGGAAGGACCGGGUCUCGAGGUCAGGUCACUCAGGUCAGAGUGAAGUUCACCGACUCUGAUCGUUACAUUAUGAGGAAUGUCAAAGGACCCGUUAGAGAGGGCGAUGUCCUCACUCUUCUGGAGUCCGAAAGAGAGGCCAGGAGACUUCGGUGAUGUGCCCUCUCACUUGGUUUCGUCUCACCAGCAAGUAAAAGUUGAUGGAUCGUUUUUAUUUAUUUUGUUUCGAGACUUGAUUAGUGAUUGUGAUUGCGAUUUUGUUGUUUGUUCAAGACGAUUUUGCUUGAAAGUUCUGGUCCUGAAUUCUAGUCUCCAUCUUCUAAAUCGCUAAAACCUCAAAGGCAUGUUGAACUAUUGGAUGCAUUAUACUAUUAAUGAUCGUUUCUGCUUUG